rnacentral:rRNA from 1 species
AACGAACGCUGGCGGCAUGCCUAACACAUGCAAGUCGAACGAGAUCUUCGGUUCUAGUGGCGCACGGGUGCGUAACGCGUGGGAAACUGCCCUUUGGUUCGGAAUAACAGUUGGAAACGACUGCUAAUACCGGAUGAUGACGAAAGUCCAAAGAUUUAUCGCCAGAGGAUGAGCCCGCGUAGGAUUAGCUAGUUGGUGUGGUAAAGGCGCACCAAGGCGACGAUCCUUAGCUGGUCUGAGAGGAUGAUCAGCCACACUGGGACUGAGACACGGCCCAGACUCCUACGGGAGGCAGCAGUGGGGAAUAUUGGACAAUGGGCGAAAGCCUGAUCCAGCAAUGCCGCGUGAGUGAUGAAGGCCUUAGGGUUGUAAAGCUCUUUUACCCGGGAUGAUAAUGACAGUACCGGGAGACUAAGCUCCGGCUAACUCCGUGCCAGCCGCCGCCGUAA